ensembl:lncRNA
AUACAAUCCAAUGCGCUCAGCAAUAGCCUUCAUUCCAUUGUACAUGCCUGCUUAUUACUAAGUGGCAUUUUUACAAAGUCAGCUUAUUGCCCCCAACAAUCUUGGGUCCUCAAUUUUACCUACCCGGAGAGGAUGGAAGGCUGAGUCAACCUUGAGCCUGGUGGGAUUCGAGCCUGCAAUAAUUACGGGCAGCUGGAUCUAAGUGCUAGGCUAUUAACAGCCUGCACCACCAAGGCCCUGUGAGUUUUGCCCCUGUUGUUAAGUGAAUCACUGCGGUUAGGGUUGUUCAGUGAAACCUGGAUUUCCCCAUCAACCGCUGGUCAGAAGGUUGCAAAAUUUCACGUGCAACCAUCAUAAAAUGCAUGCCAGUUGCAAGCAGCUGAAUUUUAAUCCUGUGAGACCAGGGAUGCUGCAAUGGUCGUUAAGGGUGAAAUGUGGUCAUAAGUCAGUGCUUCUGUUACUUGAAAUAGUCAAGUUCCAAACGGCCUUUGAUAGAAGAAUUGGACUGAAGCCAAUCCUCCAUACAAAGUUUGUUUCACCCCCAAACUGCAGCUGCUGUCAAGGACACACCCCUCACCCCUUAAAGCAGAGGUCCUUCAAACUUGACAGCUUUAAGACUUGAGGACUUCCACUCCCAGAAUUCCUCCUCUAGUCAUGUUAGUUCAGGAAUUCUGGGAGUGGAAGUCCACAAGCCUUAAACUUGCCAAGUUUGAAGAGCCUUGCCUUAAAAGAGUGAGAUAAAGUGUGCAAUGGAUUUUCCUCCCUGGUUGAAGAAGGGAACUUUUCUAUUUUCCUGGGGUGGUCCAGAAAGAGGGAGGGACAGGAGAGGGCCUGGGGGGGAGGGGGAGAAGGGGGCCAGUGGAUCACAACACCGGGGUCCUGGCAUUUGAAGCCUAAACAUGAAGAUGAGGGGAAAAAAUCAGUUUUGUUUUUCUCCUACCGCACAAAAAUGGACAUGGAUUAGUGGCAACAGUGGGAAAGCUGUGAUUAAAGAAAACAAGACCAGGAAUCCUUGGUUUGUGCCCUCUUUGUUUUGUUUCCUGCUUCCUUUUAACCUGGUUAACACAAAUAGGUUUACUCGUGGGUCGAGAAUGAAAUCGUCGUGCAGUGAUUUCUCAAGUUUUUAAGAUCUGGGGACUUCAACUCCCAGAAUUCCCCAGCCAGCAUUGUUUUUUUUUUUUUUAAUUACAUUUAUAUGCCGCCCUUCUCCGAAGACUCAGGGCGGCUUACAAUUUUUGAAGCGCAACCCAAUGUGCUCAGCAAUAGCCUUCAUUCCAUUGUAUCUGCCUGCUUAUUAUUACUAAGCGGCAUUUUUACAAAGUCAGCUUAUUGCCCCCAACAAUCUUGGGUCCUCAAUUUACCUACCCCGGGAGGAUGGAAGGCUGAGUCAACCUUGAGCCUGGUGGGAUUUGAGCCUGCACUAACUGCAGGCAGCUGGGACUAAGUGCUAGGUGUUUAACAGCCUGCACCACCAAGGCUGGUUGGCUGGGGAUUCUGGGAAUUGAAGUCCAGAUGUCUUAAAAGUUAAACCAUGCUGGCUGGGAAGUUAGGAUCAUAGUGUAAUAAGAUUGGGACUGGGUUAGGGACUUCUGUCCUCACUGUGAGUUGUGUUUGGUGGGGGUGCACGAAGGGAGGCUCAGCCAAUCUCAUUGUACACAUGUAGUCUGACUAUAAAGGUAAUAAGAAAGAAGGAAGAAGAGGAGGAGGAGGAGUCAAGGACUGCCUGUACAGUAUUAGUUUUAAAGUGGGACCUGUAAAAUGAAUAUUCGAGACAGAUGUGUAUCUAGUGCCUCUUAAAAACUUGUGUUUCCCCAGACAGUACAGAGUAGAAAAAUUGCAAAAAUUACCUUCCAAAUCCAGUAGGUUUUUUCUCCCAUCCCUUUUAUUUCCUUGCUCAAUCUCCUUUCAAACCACUGCAGAAGCCAAUAAUUCCUUAAUUCUGGAGCUACCAAAGGAUCCCAAGAGAGCAAGUCCAGUUCAGGUCUCCAGACUGGGUCACCUCAGAGAUGCCUUGCCUUGCCUUGUUUUCCCUACCUUGUUCCAAUACAGUUAGUCCUUGACUUGCUGUACGAUAGUUUGCUUAAUGACAGUUCAAAGUCUGCCCUGAGUCUUCGGAGAAGGGCGGCAUAUAAAUGUAAUUAAAAAUAAAAAAGUUACACCACCACUGAAAAAAAAAAUUGACCAUUUUUCACACAACUGUUGCAGCUUCCCCAGGGUCACAUGAUCCAAAUUCAGAUUCUUGGCCACUGUCUCAUAGUUACGACGAUUGUAGUGUCCCCGGGAGUCACAUGGAUCCCCUUUUGUGACCUGAUGAAGUCAAUGAGGAAGCCAGGUUCACUUAACAACUGUGUUACUUGACACUGCAGUGAAUCACUUAACAAAUGUGGCAAGGUGUCAUUUUUGUGACACUCCAAAUUAUAUCUCUUUUAUUACUUCAGCCUGCCGGUUAGUAUUGCUUUGUUAAUUUGUAGAGUUUCGAGUUUUAAGAAUUUCCCAAGGAUCCUAUUAAUCUCUAAAAAAUAUUCAGCUUCUAUCUAGAGCAUCUUACUGAACACUUGCAA